UGGGGAAUAUUGGACAAUGGGGGCAACCCUGAUCCAGCCAUGCCGCGUGAGUGAUGAAGGCCUUCGGGUUGUAAAGCUCUUUUGGCGGGGACGCUGAUGACGGUACCCGCAGAAUAAGCCCCGGCUAACUUCGUGCCAUCAGCCGCGGUAAGACGAAGGGGGCUAGCGUUGUUCGGAAUUACUGGGCGUAAAGCGCGCGUAGGCGGCUUUGCAAGUCAGAGGUGAAAGCCCGGGGCUCAACCCCGGAAUUGCCUUUGAGACUGCAUCGCUUGAACAUCGGAGAGGUAAGUGGAAUUCCGAGUGUAGAGGUGAAAUUCGUAGAUAUUCGGAAGAACACCAGUGGCGAAGGCGACUUACUGGACGAUUGUUGACGCUGAGGUGCGAAAGCGUGGGGAGCAAAC
rnacentral:rRNA from 1 species